rnacentral:rRNA from 1 species
CCUACGGGAGGCAGCAGUAAGGAAUAUUGGUCAAUGGACGAAAGUCUGAACCAGCCAUGCCGCGUGAAGGAUUAAGGCCCUCUGGGUUGUAAACUUCUUUUAUCUGGGACGAAAAAAGGGUAUUCUUACUCACUUGACGGUACCAGAGGAAUAAGCACCGGCUAACUCCGUGCCAGCAGCCGCGGUAGUACGGAGGGUGCAAGCGUUAUCCGGAUUUACUAGGUUUAAAGGGUGCGUAGGUGGGCUUGUAAGUCAGUGGUGAAAUCUCCGGGCUUAACCCGGAAACUGCCAUUGAUACUAUAGGUCUUGAAUUAUCUGGAGGUAAGCGGAAUAUGUCAUGUAGCGGUGAAAUGCUUAGAUAUGACAUAGAACACCAAUUGCGAAGGCAGCUUACUACGGAUACAUUGACACUGAGGCACGAAAGCGUGGGGAUCAAACAGGAUUAGAUACCCUGGUAGUCCACGCCCUAAACGAUGGAUACUCGACAUCAGCGAUACACUGUUGUGUCUGAGNGAAGANAUAUAUACCACCNGAGUAGANGCAGAUAGAACGACAAUAGAGUAGUAGNGNGAGAGAGACGAGACGACGACGAGGAGGAGG